rnacentral:rRNA from 1 species
GAUGAACGCUGGCGGCGUGCUUAACACAUGCAAGUCGAACGAUGAAGCCCAGCUUGCUGGGUGGAUUAGUGGCGAACGGGUGAGUAACACGCGAGCAAACUGCCCCUGUCUCUGGGUUAAGCACUGUAAACGGCGUCUAAUACUUGAUAUGUCAUGUCACCGCCCGGUGUGCGCGUGGAAAGAUGGUGCGGUUGGGGAUAGGCUGGGGGGUUAUCGGCUUGUUUGUGAUGGAAGGUCUGACCACGGCGUCGCCGGGUAGCCGGCCUGAGCGGGUGACCGGGCACAAUGGGACUGCGAGACGGCGCAGACGCCUACGGGAGGCAGCAGUGGGGAAUAUUGCACAAUGGGCGGAAGCCUGAUGCAGCAACGCCGCGUGAGGGAUGACGGCCUACGGGUUGUAAACCUCUGUUAGCGGGGAAGAAGCGAAAGUGACGGUACCUGAAGAAAAAGCACCGGCUAACUACGUG